UGGGGAAUUUUGGACAAUGGGCGCAAGCCUGCUCCAGCAAUGCCGCGUGCAGGAUGAAGGCCUUCGGGUUGUAAACUGCUUUUGUACGGAACGAAAAAGCUCUCUCUAAUACAGGGGGUGAAUGACGGUACCGUAAGAAUAAGCACCGGCUAACUACGUGCCAGCAGCCGCGGUAAUACGCAGGGUGCAAGCGUUACUCGGAAUUACUGGGCGUAAAGCGUGCGCAGGCGGUUUUGUAAGACAGAGGUGAAAUCCCCGGGCUCAACCAGGGAACUGCCUUUGUGACUGCAAAACUGGAGUGCGGGAGAGGGGGUUGGAAUUCCGCGUGUAGCAGUGAAAUGGGUAGAUAUGCGGAGGAACACCGAUGGCGAAGGCAAUCCCCUGGGCCUGCACUGACGCUCGUGCACGAAAGCGUGGGGAGCAAACA
rnacentral:rRNA from 1 species